rnacentral:rRNA from 1 species
UGGGGAAUCUUGGACAAUGGGGGCAACCCUGAUCCAGCGAUGCCGCGUGAGUGAAGAAGGCCUUCGGGUCGUAAAGCUCUUUAGGCUGGGAAGAAGUGUGGUAGAGGAAAUGCUAUCACAUUGACGGUACCAGCAGAAUAAGCACCGGCAAACUCUGUGCCAGCAGCCGCGGUAAUACAGAGGGUGCGAGCGUUAAUCGGAGUUACUGGGCGUAAAGGGCGCGUAGGCGGUUUAGUGAGUGUGGUGUGAAAGCCCCGGGCUUAACCUGGGAAGUGCAUCGCAAACGACUAGACUAGAGUAGAUGAGAGGGUGAUGGAAUUUCCGGUGUAGCGGUGAAAUGCGUAGAGAUCGGAAGGAACGUCGAUGGCGAAGGCAGUCACCUGGCAUCAUACUGACGCUGAGGCGCGAAAGCGUGGGGAGCAAACAGGAUUAGAUACCCCGGUAGUCC